rnacentral:rRNA from 1 species
GAUGAACGCUGGCGGCGUGCCUAAUACAUGCAAGUCGAGCGAACAGACGAGGAGCUUGCUCCUCUGACGUUAGCGGCGGACGGGUGAGUAACACGUGGAUAACCUACCUAUAAGACUGGGAUAACUUCGGGAAACCGGAGCUAAUACCGGAUGAUAUAUUGAACCGCAUGGUUCAAUAGUGAAAGACGGUUUUGCUGUCACUUAUAGAUGGAUCCGCGCCGCAUGAGCUAGUUGGUAAGGUAACGGCUUACCAAGGCAACGAUGGGUAGCCGACCUGAGAGGGAGGUCGGCCACACGGGAACUGAGACACGCCCCAGACUCCGACGGGAGGCAGCAGCAGGGACUCCUCCGCGAGGGGGGAAAGCGUGACGGAGCAACGUGGCGUGAGGCAUGAAGCUCUUCGGAUCGUAAAACUCUGUUAGUAGGGAGGUACAAAUGUGUUAGUACCGAUGCACGUCUUGACGGUACCUAAACAGAAAGCCACGGCUAACUACGUG